rnacentral:rRNA from 1 species
AGUUCGGAUCGCAGUCUGNAACUCGACUGCGUGAAGGUGGAGUCGCUAGUAAUCGCGGAUCAGCAACGCCGCGGUGAAUGCGUUCCCGGGCCUUGUACACACCGCCCGUCAAGUCAUGAAAGUGGGCAGCACCCGAAGACGGUGGCCUAACCCUUGUGGGGGGAGCCGUCUAAGGUGAGGCUCGUGAUUGGGACUAAGUCGUAACAAGGUAAC